rnacentral:lncRNA from 10 species
GUAGGCGUCAUUCUUCACAGUAGUCCUCUGCCUCCACCGCCCCGGGAUCUCCUUGCGCUCGGUCCUCUACGUGGAGUCACCUAUGCAGAGGAAUUCCACGGGGCGGGGGCGAGGACAGGGUGCGGGGGUCUUUAUGGCAGACAAUCCCCGGCUGAGCGCUUGGCCAGAGUUUCUGUGAUGCUAGAAUCUGGACUGCCUGCGACCUCUCCGGGACUCGGACACCAGCCCUCGCCUCCUGGUGAUCUUUUAGGUCCUGCAGAGAAGUGAAGAGGUAUUGGACGUGGCCAGGGUCAAUAGUGUGAAGCCAGAAUUAGAAUUGAAUUGAAAUGCCUUCGGUUUUGAUAUCUCUGCUGUUUGUCUUGAGGCAACUGCUUUUCCUCCUUUGGGCCUCUCAGUUUUCCAUCUAAUCUCGCUCUGUCACCCAGGCUGGAGUGAAAUGGCACAAUCUUGGCUCACUGUAACCUCCGCCCCCAGGUUCGACUGAUUCUCGUGCCUCAGCCUCCUCAGUAGCUGGGAUUACAGAUGAGCCCCAGAGAGGCGAAGCCACUUGAGCUCGUGAGUGACAGUCAGAUGUCAAGCCCUGCUCUUUCUAAAGCGUGCUGCCUUCAGAAAAGAAGAGCCAGAAGGAUGGAAAUUACUUCAGAAAGAUGAAUACCAGCUUUGAAGGAAUAAAAGCUGACGAGGAAUUGAAGGAGUUGAGGCACGAGCUUGAACAGGGUUGCAUGUUUGGCCCUUGAUUGUAAAUGCCCAUUGCUGCACCUGUUCCUGUUACUUGGGGAGUUGCAGCAGAAGGAACAGCGGCCUGGGACUCCAGAGAACUGGGUUCCCUCUCAUCCCUCCAGGGCCACCACUUCUUGUGGGCCCUUGGGCAAGUCACUGUACUUUCUGAGUCUCAGUUUCCCCAUUUGCAGAAUGGAAAUAACUACCCCGGUCUACCAACUUAGAAGAAUUGCUUUGAGGAUCUGAUAAGGUGGUGUGGAUGAUGCUGCCUUGGGGGCUUUACAGUCUGGAGCUCAAGGGACCCCUUAAGUUGGGCUUACUUAGUAACUCCAGGGGUGGGCAGAACAGGACUCCAAUGAGGGUUUUUUUCUUUUUCCCUUUUUUUUCUUUUCCUAUCUCUUAACUUUUAUCUUUAUUAUUUUACAAUGCCCUUGUAAGAUGAAACAAGUGAUGCUGAAAUAUCUUUUUCUUUUUUAACCUUUAUUUUAGAAUUGGGGUACAUGUGCAGGUUUGUUACAUAGGUACAGUGUGGGCUGCUGAGGUUUGGGAGUACGAAUGAAUUAGUCACCCCAGUGGUGAGCAUAGUGCCCGAUAAGUGGUUUUUUCAACCCUUACUCCCAUCCCUCUCCAUUCUUGUGUUCCCCAGUGUCUGCUGUUCCCAUUUUUAUGACCAUGUGUACUCAAUGUUUAGCUCCCACUUAGAAGUAAGAACAUGCCCAGCACUUUGGGAGGCCGAGGUGGGUGGAUCAUGAGGUCAAGAGAUCGAGACCAUCUUGGCUAACAAAGUGAAACCCUGUCUCUACUAAAAACAUAAAAAAUUGGCCGGGUGUGGUGGUGGGCACCUGUAGUCCUAGCUACUCGGGAGGCUGAGACAGGAGAAUCGCCUGAACCGGGGAGGUGGAGGUUGCAGUGAGCUGAGAUUGUACCACUGCACUCCAGCCUGGGUGACAGAGUGAGACUCCAUCUCAAAAAAAUAAAAAUAAAAAAAUAAAAAGAAUGUGGUGUAUGA